ACCAGUGUAGCCUAGUGGUUUGAGUGUUGGACUAGAACUCCGGAGACCAUGGUUCGAAUCCUGGCUCUUCCA